rnacentral:rRNA from 1 species
AAGUAGUUUAAGUUGUGUGCAAGUGGUAGGAGAGCGUUCUAUUUGCGUCGAAGGUAUACCGGUAAGGAGUGCUGGAGCGAAUAGAAGUGAGCAUGCAGGCAUGAGUAGCGAUAAUUAAUGUGAGAAUCAUUAACGCCGUAAACCCAAGGUUUCCUACGCGAUGCUCGUCAUCGUAGGGUUAGUCGGGUCCUAAGUCGAGUCCGAAAGGGGUAGACGAUGGCAAAUUGGUUAAUAUUCCAAUACCAACAUUAGUGUGCGAUGGAAGGACGCUUAGGGCUAAGGGGGCUAGCGGAUGGAAGUGCUAGUCUAAGGUCGUAGGAGGUUAUACAGGCAAAUCCGUAUAACAAUACUCCGAGAACUGAAAGGCUUUUUGAAGUCUUCGGAUGGAUAGAAGAACCCCUGAUGCCGUCGAGCCAAGAAAAGUUUCUAAGUUUAGCUAAUGUUGCCCGUACCGUAAACCGACACAGGUGGGUGGGAUGAGUAUUCUAAGGCGCGUGGAAGAACUCUCUUUAAGGAACUCUGCAAAAUAGCACCGUA